UAAUGAAACGAGGAAAAAAUUUGUUAUGAUAUACUACGACGCAUCCAAAUGUAAAGGAUCGGAAUUUAGAUGAAACCGAUGGUACUUCCGAGUAAAUGUACCAACAAUAUAAUAAAUAAAUCAGCAAUUUUACUGCUAGACAAUAUUUCACUGUGAGGCUUAGUCUUGGUAUAAAUAGAGGGACUCUGUCAAAACAAAUAUUUUGAACUAGACUCGAAUUCUUCAUAAUUCUAUUCACUUGAGUGUUUAUUUUUUUUAACAAUGCCAUUACAUUUACGAGAUAUGUGGAUAUCCACUGACGAUUAUAAGGAUGUUUUACUUACGUGUCCUGUGUGGU